rnacentral:rRNA from 1 species
CCUACGGGAGGCAGCAGUGAGGAAUUUUCUGCAAUGGGCGAAAGCCUGACAGAGCAAUACCGCGUGAGGGAAGAAGGCUUACUGAGUUGUAAACCUCGGUGCCUUAAGGAAGAAGAUCUGACGGUACUUAAGGUGGAAAGCAUCGGCUAACCCCGUGCCAGCAGCCGCGGUAAGACGGGGGAUGCAAGUGUUAUCCGGAAUUACUGGGCGUAAAGCGUCUGCAGGUGGUUUCUUAAGUCCACUGUUAAACCUUGAGGCUCAACCUCAAAUCUGCAGUGGAAACUAGGGAACUUGAGGAUAGUAGGGGUAGAGGGAAUUUCCAGUGGAGCGGUGAAAUGCGUAGAUAUUGGAAAGAACACCGAUGGCGAAGGCACUCUACUGGGCUAUGACUGACACUCAGAGACGAAAGCUAGGGGAGCAAAUGGGAUUAGAUACCCCAGUAGUCCUAGCCGUAAACGAUGGAUACUCGAUGUGUAGUAUCGUACCGUACUAGUAUCUAGUCUACGUACGUAGUAUACCGUCCGUCGGUAGGUACGUCGUCGCGAGAGUAGAACGACGAACGAAAGUUAAGUACGGUCGUUGAGUACGUUGCGACGGACGACGACGAGGGAGGAGG